CCGGAUCGAUACGUGUUUGUUUAGCAAAGAUCUCCGCUGACGUUCCCUCAGUUUUGAAGUCAGAAGCAUCCAGGCCCCUGACUGAUUUGGUUAUAAACACUCAUGUACCUCCAGAUCGCCUGGGGUCCCCUAGAAUGGCCAUUUACUUGCCUGGCCACUGACGCCCAGUACUUACUAUCCCUAUCAGGGUUUAGGGUCUUCACGGAGAUCUCAUUUCUUGGAAACCGGAUGCCUGGCCCACAAGGCCUGGUUUUGACUGGUCCAAAUGGGGGUCAAGAAUAUACAAAUGGCCUUAGAUGGAACGUCGUUCCUCACUUUGCAGUCCUGUAUGGUAGUCUCUGAGGGCUGCAUUAGCAAAACACCAGAGUGUUGUACACAACAGAAUUUUGUGUUAUCAUUUCUGGGGCCACUCAUCCCAAAUGAAGGUGUUGGUAGCACCAUACUCUCUCUGAGAGUGUGAGGAAGGGAUCUGUUCCAAGCCCUUCUUCUAGCUUCUAGAAGGUUCUCUAGCUUCUUGAAGGUUCUCCUAGCAUGUAGCAGCAUGGCUCCAGGCUUCAUGGCCUUCUCUUAUAUGUGUGUCUCUUUCUAAAUUACCUGUUUAGUGAGGAUUAGGCUCCCCCUGAACCCCAUUAUGAUCUCAUUUUCAUGAAUCCUAUCUGUAACAACCAUAUUUCCAAGUGAGGUCACAUUCUGAAGUGCUGGAGGUCAGACUUUCAACAUAGCUGUAGUCAGCCAAGUGGCUGCUGCAUAGAAGAUGAAUUCACACAUUCACCUUUCAGACCGUGUGGACAGAGGUGUGCUAGUCUGGCUUCUCCAGAGUGAAGAAUACUUCACCAUACCAGUCAUCUUUCCUCCGUGUCUUGUGUAUACAUGCAGCCUGCCUGCUGUUCCUCUCGGAGUGCAGGUCCCAAUCUCUCCCAACCUUUUCCUGACAUCAGGCCUGAUGAGGGGAUGCCCUCUCUCAGAGAACUGGCUCUCACCCAUGGCACCUACAUCCUAAAUGACACCAUGGACCUGUUCCACGGUCAGCCACGGUGGACUGGACUAAGGAUGCACCUGUGUCAUACCUGGUUAUUCCUGCACUUGCUUGUGACCUGUUGGGGUGCUCCAUCCCAAGAAUUUGGAAGAAGAGACACUCAGCAUAAGCUGUGGGUCCAGAGCAGAGGAGAAGGUGAUGUCAGAGCAAAGGGACACUGUGCCCUGUGUACACUGUACUCGCUCACCUGUGGACAGGAGAGGUGGAUGUGGCACCUGAGCCUGCUGACAUCAGCUGGUGGAGCAGGGAGAGCCCGGCACACACCCCAGGGGUGCACAAGUGAGCCUGCCAGUCAUGUCCUUGCUUCAGAGGCUCUGAGAAGACUUGUUCUUGACCUUCAAGGGCAGGGAUGGCAAAUUACAGCUGGCAGGUCAACUCUGGCUUAGGGUGUGUGUCUGUAAAUAAAGUUUUAUUGGAACACAGCCACUUCCCUUUGUUUAUGCACUUACUGUCUGUAACUACUUUUUUUUUUUAGCAUCUCUGGCACAAUGAGUAGUUGUAACAGGGUCCAGAAAGCCUAAAAUGUUUAGAAUUUCGA